GGAGAGAAGACUGGAAAACACAAACACCCCCGUUACAGGCCGGCAGUAGUGUCCACUUGUCCGAGUUUGGAUUGUAGAACUCCACGGAGGCCAAAUUACAGCUGCCAUCAUCUCCUCCCACCACAUACACCGUGUGGAACAUCUGACAGCUGACGACACGCUGUGUUCUUCUUACCUGCAUUGCGGCGACACAUGUUCAUAUCAGCUACCUGUCGCCAGCUGUUGGAGGCUGGAUCGUAAACUUCACAGCUCUUCCUCACC